GUAUGUACAUACAUACAUACAUAUGUAUGUUUAUAACUACAUAGCUACUUUAAACGGGGAACGUUUGAGCGGUUUAAAUUACGCUAAAAACAGGCUUUCGCAUUUAUCAUUACAGUUUCAGCCGUCGAACAUGGCUAAGGAUACAGCUGCAUUUAAGGACAAGUCGAUAGCGGAAAUAAGCAGGAAAAAG